rnacentral:rRNA from 1 species
AGAUUGAACGCUGGCGGCAUGCCUAACACAUGCAAGUCGAACGGGAGUAGCAAUACUCUAGUGGCGGACGGGUGAGGAAUACGUAGGAAUUUGCCCUUAAGUGGGGGAUAACCCGGGGAAACCCGGAUUAAUACCGCAUGACCUCGAAAGAGCAAAGUGGGGGAUCGCAAGACCUCACGCUUUUGGAGAAGCCUACGUCGGAUUAGCUAGUUGGUGAGGUAAUGGCUCACCAAGGCGACGAUCCGUAACUGGUCUGAGAGGAUGAUCAGUCACACCGGAACUGAGACACGGUCCGGACUCCUACGGGAGGCAGGCAGUGGGGGAAUAUUGGACAAUGGGCGCAAGCCUG